GCCCCCAUAGGUUAAUGGAUAGACUGCGAGCUUGCGGAGCUCGUGAUCUGAGUUCGAAUCUCAGUGGGGGCG
rnacentral:tRNA from 1 species